rnacentral:tRNA from 1 species
GCCUCGAUAGCUCAGUUGGUAGAGCGGCGGAUUGAAGAUCCGCGCGUCGGUGGUUCGACUCCAUCUCGUGGCACCA